CUUUACUAAUAUGACAUCACAAUACCGUAUAGUGAGUUGAACGCGAUAGACAAUCACCACAGGAAGACGGAACAAAAGUUGCGCGAGGUAUUGAAGCAAGCGGAGACGGAAACUAACAAGGCCAAUCAUGAAAAAGAGCUGUUGAGCGUUCGUGCAAAAUCAUUGAAACAACAACUGAUGGAAGUUGAACAAUUGCUCACCGACUCCGAGGAGCAACGGAGGAGGUUGCAGGAGGAAUUAUCGGAGAAGAAUGGAGCGAACUAUGAGCUUGAACAAGCGCUUGCUGCUAUGAGACUUGCGCAAGCCGGAUCAAAGUCUGCAUCGGCCAACGGGAGUCUAUUUACGUCUGUGUGACGUCAUAAUACGAUCUGCACUAAUACGCUGCCAUGAUUUUUAUAUUUUUUAAACUUUUCUUGUUUUAACCUGCGUGGUAUAAAUGUGCACUUCGUCUUUACUAAUCAUUGUAGAAACUUUGGUGCAAAAUUCAUAAAUAUGCUAUUUCUAUGUUUGAGUAGUGCCAUACUUUGACCGUUAGGUGGCGUGCUAUACCUCCAUCGGGGCAGUAUUUGUGUUUAUAAGAUGUUUAUGGCUGCGUUAAUGUGAUAUCUAUUCUACCAAUCAAAUUUCAUAUUUUAACAAUUAUUUACGGUUCUGUAAUUAAUUACGUCAUAAUGCAUAUUGUUAUCUAAUGGAAUGUAUAUUUGUGACGUCACAGAGAGUCUUUAUUAACCGCGUUUACACGAUUAUUGCAGUAUUUCGCAUUGUUACGUCACUUACCCAUAUUUUCUAAUCACGUGACACUUAAUUACCGACCAAUACUUACUAACAAUGGUUUGAAUAAAAUGAUAAAAUAUAA